rnacentral:rRNA from 1 species
GAGUUUGAUCCUGGCUCAGAGUGAACGCUGGCGGUGCGCCUAACACAUGCAAGUCGAGUGGGUUCAGACCCACGGCAGACGGCUGCGUAACACGUUGGUACCUACCCCGAACUCAGGGAUAUCCCGCCGAAAGGCGGAGUAAUACCGGAUGCCCCGUCUUCGCUCUUUGCUUCGCAAAGAGCUACGCCGCGGCUAGCCUCGCAAGAGGCCUGCCACGGCGAAGCCCUUACGGAGUAAGGAGCGGAGCCGGGAAAGAUUUAUCGGUUCGGGAGGGGCCUGCGGCCUAUCAGAUAGUUGGCGGGGUAACGGCCCACCAAGUCUAUGACGGGUAGCUGAUUUGAGAGAAUGAUCAGCCAGAAUGGAACUGCGACACGGUCCAUACUCCUACGGGAGGCAGCAGUGAGGAAUCUUCCGCAAUGGGCGAAAGCCUGACGGAGCGACACCGCGUGAAGGAUGAAGCCCUUUCCGGGCGUAAACUUCUGUUCUGAGGGACGAAAUUUUUGACGGUACCUCAGGAGAAAGCAUCGGCAAACCCUGUGCCAGCAGCCGCGGUAAGACAGGGGAUGCAAGCGUUACUCGGAAUUACUGGGCGUAAAGCGUCUGCAGGUUUCCUGCCACGUCUGAAGUCAAAUGGCGAUGCUUAACAUCGUCAACGCUUCGGAAACGAGCGGGAUAGAGUCACCCAGAGGCAUCUGGAAUGUCGUGUGUAGGGGUAAAAUCCGUAGAUCCACGAUGGAACGCCGAAAGCGAAGGCAGGAUGCUGGGGGUGCACUGACACUCAGAGACGAAAGCGUGGGGAGCAAAGGGGAUUAGAUACCCCCGUAGUCCACGCCCUAAACUAUGCGGGCUCGGUGUAGGAACUUUUCAAUUGGUUUCUGUGCCUUAGCUAACGCGGUAAGCCCGCCGCCUGAGAAGUACGGCCGCAAGGCUAAAACUCAAAGGAAUAGACGGGGACCCACACAAGCGGUGGAACAUGGGGUUUAAUUCGAUGGUAAACGAAGCACCUCACCCAGGCUUGACAUCUCAGAAAUCCGGCAGAAACGUCGGAGUGCCGCAAGGAAUCUGAAGACAGGCGAUGCACGGUCGUCGUCAGCUCGUGCCUUGAGGUGUACUGUUCAGUCAGCGAACGAGCGCAACCCUCAUCCUCUGUUGUUUUUUCAGGGGAGACUGCCGCCUCCAAGGCGGAGGAAGGUGGGGAUGACGUCAGAUCAGCGUGUCCUUUAUGCCUGGGGCUACACCCAUGUUACAAUGGUCGAUACAGAGGGCAGCGAACCCGCAAGGGGGAGCCAAUCCCACCAAAAUCGAUCUCAGUUCGGAUUGCCGACUGCAACUCGCCGGCAUGAAGUUGGAAUCGCUAGUAACCGUAGGUCAGCGAUACUACGGUGAAUAUGUUCCUGGUCUUGUACACAC